GCGAGUGUCGUACAGUGGCUAGUAUGCAAGCCUUCCAAGCUCGAGACGCGAGUUCGAUUCUCGCCACUCGCACCA
rnacentral:tRNA from 2 species